AAUCACGGUUGAUGCAUAAUUUCGGUAUAAUGUCUAAACACUGUACUACGUACCAACGAAGUUCUUCUAUGCUUCUUCAUUUUAGUCGCCCUUUUUCAAGCCUUGGGGGACAUAUUCUCACGAAAUCCGGUUCUACUGGUUUGGUGUUAGAUACGAAGGUUGUCACGUUCUCAAAGGACAUGAUAUUUAUUACUUCAAAUUGGUUACAAAAUACGCUAUAACUCUCACAUAAUUUAUGACCGUACCGAUGGUGUUGACGACGCAUCCCGUGAAUACAUCUCUCUCAUAUAGUAUUAUACAUACGAGAGCAAUACGAGAGACCAGGUGUAUUUAAAUAUUCAUAUGCAAUGUAUCACGAAUCAUACAUCAGUUUGCGGCUACGAGCAUUACAAACGCCGAGUCUACGCAACAUAUACAGAGUGCCUUUUUAAUAAAAUCGUUGAUUACCUCUCUUUUAUUAAUAUGUGCAAUGCGUCUUAUGACUUAUGCGAAACAAAAAAUAAUUUAAAUAAAUAUAAUGUCUGUCAUUGUGAACUUAAAAAAUAUCACUUUUAAAAAAGCCAAAGUAUCCAACAAGUAUAAGAAGUUUUUUGAAAUUGUAACAAUGCAUAGCUAGUAUCGAAAGAUAAAUGUUUCACUCUGUAUGCAAAAAUAUCAUGUAGCCAAACACCAUCUUCUGCACAACAGGUUGUUAAUUCCUCUCUGUAAGAUCCACGGCGGUGGGCUUCAUUAAAAAUUGAACUGGUCAGAAUAUCAGAGAGAAGAAUAAAUUUAAUACGUAUGAGCCAUUAAUUAGCGGUCCAAUUGCUGAUAUUCUUAUUAUACAAGGGGGGCGUAACGUACGUAGAAUGUGCUUCCAAAAAAACCUUCGUAACUACAUCGAUUUGUUUGCUACGCUUGUAUGGGAAAUAAAAACUAACAACAUUGUACGCGCAAAACCUAUAUAGUACGUUUAAGUAUGGUAAAGUGCAAUCAUAUAUUUACAUAAAAAUGUCCAUAAUUCAUAUAUACCUGAAAGGCUAAAGAAUACAAGCAGAAACCGAGAAUAACAAGCCAGAGUCCAAAGACAUUGCGAGGACCAGUCUUGGAUCGAGCAACAACUCUAUAUCCUCACUGGAAUAAACUAUGCUUACUACAAGAAUUAGUGAAAAAUAAGAAGAUACUACGCUUAGACAAGUCGAACGAUCCCGCUAAUAUCAAUCACUACGUCGAAAAAGUUCAAUAGCACUAGUUUUGCACCGAACGAUCUUAACUUAUCCUAAACCCCCAAAUCUAUCUACAUUCGUCUAGGGACAAGGAAUACCUCAAUGGAACUCGUUCUGGGUUACAGAAUCCUAUCUGCAUCUAAACGACAAUUCAAACUUUAGUGAUUUAUUUGCAACAAUUAUUUGCAACAUCGAGUAGUAAUUCGGAAACUGAAUUUGAGGAUUGUAUAGAUAUGUUAAAUUAAUUUGAAAGGAAUUCUCUUCGUGAAGGACUAGAGAGAGAAGAACAUGGCAAGAAAAACAAUUAACUCUAUACAGACACAUUUACAGCUGCCGGGUUUCGCGAGCAAUGAACUCAUGGGAAACAUUAAAAUAUCUUCGGAAAAGAAGGAGACACAUAUUUUAUUUACUCCAACGCUAUAUUUAUUUUAAACGUAUAGCUUUAAAAUACAAAAUAAAUAUUUGCUUAAACAAGAGAUACGUAACUGUCAAAUGGAAUUUCUGCCCUCUUCUAUUCACGCAUAUUUAUUAAAACUUAAGGAUCACCCUUUCUUAUGCUAAUCCUAUGCUUCCUACGUAUCUCAGCUCAUUGUAUGCAUAUUGAAACUACAUUUAUAUAAGUGUGUAAUGUGCAAGGAUUAAAGGCAUAUCAAACGUGAAAAACAGGCACAUACGUAUAUCCAGGAAAUAAUAUCUUUGACAAAGAAUUCAUGAACAAUGUGCAAUAGACUUCUGUAUCACACACAUAGCUCGAGGAAUUUUUUAAAAGAAUCUUUCUAGGCAUGCACAAUGUACACCAGAUCGGACAAAAAACAAGAAAUGGAGUACGCAGUCUUUUUCCCCGAGGACGAUCUAGAUUACAGAAUAAACCGCGCAUUACGAAGGGGACCGCAUUUCCUCAGGUUAUCUGUGUAUACGUUUGGUACAAACAGAGAAGAAAUUUCUUCUCUGAUACAAGACAAGAUUUCCAUACGACUUUAUUUCAGAAACGUCUAUUUGGGCG